rnacentral:misc_RNA from 1 species
GAUGAAGAACGUAGCGAAAUGCGAUACGUAAUGUGAAUUGCAGCAUUCAGUGAAUCAUCGAGUCUUUGAACGCACAUUGCGCCCCCUGGUAUUCCGGGGGGCAUGCCUGUCCGAGCGUCAUUGCUGCCCUCAAGCACGGCUUGUGUGUUGGGCCUCCGUCCUCCUCCCGGGGGACGGGCCCGAAAGGCAGCGGCGGCACCGCGUCCGGUCCUCGAGCGUAUGGGGCUUCGUCACCCGCUCUUGUAGGCCCGGCCGGCGCUUGCCGACACAUCAAUCUUUUUUCCAGGUUGACCUCGGAUCCGGUAGGGAUACCCGCUGAACUUAAGCAUAUCAAUAAGCGGAGGA